rnacentral:miRNA from 1 species
AUCCUAGUCACGGCACCA